rnacentral:rRNA from 1 species
CAGUAGGGAUCUUCCACAAUGGACGAAAGUCUGAUGGAGCAACGCCGCGUGAGUGAAGAAGGUUUUCGGAUCGUAAAACUCUGUUGUUGGAGAAGAAUGUAUCUGAUAGUAACUGAUCAGGUAGUGACGGUAUCCAACCAGAAAGCCACGGCUAACUACGUGCCAGCAGCCGCGGUAAUACGUAGGUGGCAAGCGUUGUCCGGAUUUAUUGGGCGUAAAGCGAGCGCAGGCGGUUUCUUAAGUCUGAUGUGAAAGCCUUCGGCUCAACCGAAGAAGUGCAUCGGAAACUGGGAAACUUGAGUGCAGAAGAGGACAGUGGAACUCCAUGUGUAGCGGUGAAAUGCGUAGAUAUAUGGAAGAACACCAGUGGCGAAGGCGGCUGUCUGGUCUGUAACUGACGCUGAGGCUCGAAAGCAUGGGUAGCAAACAGGAUUAGAUACCCUGGUAGUCCAUGCCGUAAACGAUGAGUGCUAGGUGUUGGAGGGUUUCCGCCCUUCAGUGCCGCAGCUAACGCAUUAAGCACUCCGCCUGGGGAGUACGACCGCAAGGUUGAAACUCAAAGGAAUUGACGGGGGCCCCGCACAAGA